UCAUCAUUUAAUGUCUGUUUUCCAUGCUGGCAUGGGUUGGAUGGUUUGAUUAGAGCUAGCAAGCAGGAGAGCUGUACUAGGUUCCAAACUGAUUGUCUUGGUUUCCAUGGCUAGAUACCCUUUCUAACACCAACCACUUUACAGUUUGUGCUAGAU